rnacentral:rRNA from 1 species
GACUGGAGGACCGAACCGACUAAUGUUGGAAAAUUAGCGUAUGACUUGUGGCUAGGGGUGAAAGGCCAAUCAAACCUGGAGAUAGCUGGUUCUCCCCGAAAGCUAUUUAGGUAGCGCCUCGGACGAAUACUACUGGGGGUAGAGCACUGUUAAGGCUAGGGGGUCAUCCCGACUUACCAACCCUUUGCAAACUCCGAAUACCAGUAAGUACUAUCCGGGGGACACACGGCGGGUGCUAACGUCCGUCGUGGAGAGGGAAACAACCCAGACCGCCAGCUAAGGUCCCAAAGUAUAGCUAAGUGGGAAACGAUGUGGGAAGGCUCAGACAGCCAGGAUGUUGGCUUAGAAGCAGCCAUCAUUUAAAGAAAGCGUAAUAGCUCACUGGUCGAGUCGGCCUGCGCGGAAGAUGUAACGGGGCUAAGCUAUACACCGAAGCUGCGGCUACGUACUUAUGUGAGUGGGGUAGGGGAGCGUUCUGUAAGCCGUUGAAGGUGGUCUGUAAGGGCUGCUGGAGGUAUCAGAAGUGCGAAUGCUGACAUGAGUAACGAUAAAGGGAGUGAAAAACUCCCUCGCCGGAAGACCAAGGGUUCCUGUCCAACGUUAAUCGGGGCAGGGUAAGUCGACUCCUAAGGCGAGGCCGAAAGGCGUAGUCGAUGGGAAACGGGUUAAUAUUCCCGUACUUCUUAUAAUUGCGAUGGUGGGACGGAGAAGGCUAGGUGGGCCUGGCGACGGUUGUCCAGGUUCAAUUACGUAGGCGGAAAGUUUAGUUAAAUCCGGACUUUCUUAACGCUGAGAUACGAUGUCGUGCUACUACGGUAGUGAAGUCAUUUAUGCCAUGCUUCCAGGAAAAGCCUCUAAGCUUCAGAGUGUAAGGAAUCGUACCCCAAACCGACACAGGUGGUCGGGUAGAGAAUACCAAGGCGCUUGAGAGAACUCGGGUGAAGGA